rnacentral:rRNA from 1 species
UACGUAGGGUGCGAGCGUUAAUCGGAAUUACUGGGCGUAAAGCGUGCGCAGGCGGCUUUGCAAGACAGAUGUGAAAUCCCCGGGCUCAACCUGGGGAAUUGCAUUUGUGACUGCAAGGCUAGAGUACGGUAGAGGGGGGAUGGAAUUCCGCGUGUAGCAGUGAAAUGCGUAGAUAUGCGGAGGAACACCGAUGGCGAAGGCAAUCCCCCUGGGC